rnacentral:rRNA from 1 species
GACGAACCGUGCGAACGUUAUUCGGAAUCACUGGGCUUAAAGCGCGUGUAGGCGGGACGGCACGUCGGUCGCUGAAAGCCCCCGGCUCAACCGGGGAACGGGCGCCGAUACGACCGCCCUGGAGGGACGUAGGGGGACCUGGAACUUCCGGUGGAGCGGUGAAAUGCGUUGAGAUCGGAAAGAACACCAACGGCGAAAGCACUCUGCUGGGCCGACACUGACACUGAGAGACGAAAGCUAGGGGAGCGAAUGGG